GACACCUUCACACUUAGGAUGCUGGCGUAAUGGCUUUAAGUGGCCCGUCUUGGAACACGGACCAAGGAGUCUAAC
rnacentral:rRNA from 14 species